rnacentral:rRNA from 1 species
UGAACGCUGGCGGUAUGCUUAACACAUGCAAGUCGAACGGAAACGAUACUAGCUUGCUAGUAGGCGUCGAGUGGCGGACGGGUGAGUAACGCGUAGGAAUCUGCCUGAUAGUGGGGGAUAGCCCGAAGAAAUUCGGAUUAAUACCGCAUAAUCUAUUCGUAGUAAAGUGGGGGACUUUCGAGCCUCACGCUAUCAGAUGAGCCUGCGUAAGAUUAGCUUGUUGGUAGGGUAAAAGCCUACCAAGGCGACGAUCUUUAGCUGGUCUGAGAGGAUGAUCAGCCACAUCGGGACUGAGACACGGCCCGAACUCCUACGGGAGGCAGCAGUGGGGAAUAUUGGACAAUGGGGGCAACCCUGAUCCAGCAAUACCGCGUGUGUGAAGAAGGCCUGAGGGUUGUAAAGCACUUUCAAUUGUGAAGAAAAGUUAACGGUUAAUAACCGUUAGCCUUGACGUUAACUUUAGAAGAAGCACCGGCUAACUCCGUGCCAGCAGCCGCGGUAAUACGGAGGGUGCAAGCGUUAAUCGGAAUUACUGGGCGUAAAGCGUGCGUAGGCGGUUUAUUAAGUCAGAUGUGAAAGCCCCGGGCUUAACCUGGGAACUGCAUUUGAAACUGGUCAACUAGAGUAUGGUAGAGGAAAGUGGAAUUUCUGGUGUAGCGGUGAAAUGCGUAGAUAUCAGAAGGAACAUCAAUGGCGAAAGGCAGCUUUCUGGACCAAUACUGACGCUGAGGUACGAAAGCGUGGGUAGCAAACAGGAUUAGAUACCCUGGUAGUCCACGCCGUAAACGAUGAUAACUAGCCGUUGGGGGGAUUUACCCUUUAGUGGCGAAGCUAACGCGUUAAGUUAUCCGCCUGGGGAGUACGGCCGCAAGGUUAAAACUCAAAGGAAUUGACGGGGACCCGCACAAGCGGUGGAGCAUGUGGUUUAAUUCGAUGCAACGCGAAGAACCUUACCUGGUCUUGACAUCCUGCGAACUUUCUAGAAAUAGAUUGGUGCCUUCGGGAACGCAGUGACAGGUGCUGCAUGGCUGUCGUCAGCUCGUGUCGUGAGAUGUUGGGUUAAGUCCCGUAACGAGCGCAACCCCUAUCCUUAUUUGCCAGCACAUCAUGGUGGGAACUAUAAGGAGACUGCCGGUGAUAAACCGGAGGAAGGCGGGGACGACGUCAAGUCAUCAUGGCCCUUACGACCAGGGCUACACACGUGCUACAAUGGGAAGGACAAAGAGCUGCGAAGCCGCGAGGUGUAGCUAAUCUCAUAAACCUUUUCGUAGUCCGGAUUGGAGUCUGCAACUCGACUCCAUGAAGUCGGAAUCGCUAGUAAUCGUAGAUCAGAAUGCUACGGUGAAUACGUUCCCGGGUCUUGUACACACCGC